rnacentral:tRNA from 1 species
GGGGUCAUGGUGUAAUGGUAGCAUCGCUGCCUCCAAAGCAGCUGAUCAGGGUUCGAAUCCUUGUGACCCCA